AUUGAACGCUGGCGGCAUGCCUUACACAUGCAAGUCGAACGGCAGCACGGGUGCUUGCACCUGGUGGCGAGUGGCGAACGUGUGAGUAAUACAUCGGAACGUACCUUAUCGUGGGGGAUAACGCAGCGAAAGUUGCGCUAAUACCGCAUACGCCCUGAGGGGGAAAGCGGGGGACCGUAAGGCCUCGCGCGAUUAGAGCGGCCGAUGUCUGAUUAGCCUGUUGGUGAGGUAAAAGCUCACCAAGGCGAUGAUCAGUAGCUGGUCUGAGAGGACGAUCAGCCACACUGGGACUGAGACACGGCCCAGACUCCUACGGGAGGCAGCAGUGGGGAAUUUUGGACAAUGGGGGCAACCCUGAUCCAGCAAUGCCGCGUGAGUGAAGAAGGCCUUCGGGUUGUAAAGCUCUUUUGUCAGGGAAGAAACAGCAGCUCUAACACAGUCUGCGAAUGACGGUACCUGAAGAAUAAGCACCGGCUAACUACGUGCCAGCCGCCGCGGUAA
rnacentral:rRNA from 1 species